GCCGGGCAUGGUGGCUCGCGCCUGUAAUCCCAGCACUUUGGGAGGCUGAGGUGGGCGGAUCACCUGAGGUCAGGAGUUUGAGACCAGCCUGGCCAACAUGGUGAGACCCCAUCUCUA
rfam:Pan troglodytes isolate Yerkes chimp pedigree #C0471 (Clint) chromosome 2A, whole genome shotgun sequence.